UGCUGCCCUGGAAGGUGGUGGGCUCACGGUAUCAUUUUGUGACUGUUUGUCUCAUCUCCCUGCAGAUAAACAUUCCAUGUAUCUGUAUGUCCAUGCAAAUGAUUUAAAAAGAAAAGAAAACGUGCAAAAUUCUUCUGAAUUUUGUACAUCACUGCAGAAAGGAGUUUUGUAAAGAUGAAGACCUGCUUAAUUUUAAAAUGACACCGUCCUGUCAACAACGGCCUUGCAUAUUGAGCAACACCACAGCAGCAGGUGAUGAGAAGUGCCUUGCAAUGACUAAUCCAACUUUGUGCACUGGAUUUUAGAAGCUCUCCUGUAUCAUGGCACGAUUGUUUCAAGAAGCAAAUCAUUGUAACAAUGAACAGAAUAGUUUAGUGUUUGUUUGGACAGUUUGGAAUUUCCUGCUAACAACAGAAAUGGAUAUGACACAAUUCAGGAGCACUAUUCAGACCACCAAGUUUUCCUUGAUCAAACUGACCAGUUUUAACAUUUUGUGUUCUGUGCAGCAUUCAGGCUUCAGCAUCAUAAGCUGUCAGUUCCACUAAUUCAUGGUAUGUUCCUCAAGGAUCAGUACCACCCCUCCACAUUGUUCAGCACCACUAUUUUUACUGACAGGGCAUUACAGCUUACAAAAACAUAGGUGCACAAAAUGGCUGUGGCAAGCAAAGUGAAACUGUCUGCUUUAGGUUUUCAAAGCUUAAUGAAUGUAAUUGGUACCUUAUACUUUCAAAUCAAAACCUUCAUCUUACUGUUAUGGUCCCCUGCUAUUCAGGCUUGGGACCAAACAUAUCCUAAAAACUUCUAUCAUCAGUCUUCAGAAUCUGCUACAGUAAGUCUAAGAUGAGAUAAGACAGAACAGAAUUAGUUUAAGUAAUAAAUGUUUAAUCAAAGAAUUUUACAUAUUAUUAACAGCAUUCAUUUGGCCAAACAUCUACAUGGUUGUAGUAUCCUACUUGUAUAUAAAGUGGGAAUGUAUCAAGUAUAGACUAUGAAAGUGCAAAUAACAAUUCAAGGUUAGAGUAAUUUUUUACAUUAUAAAAUUAACAGGUUUACAAAAUAGUCUUGCCAAACUUUAUUUUUGAAUUGUAAAGUCAAUGACUAUGGUGUUAAAAUAAGUACCAAGAAAAUACAAAUUUAAUAGGCUAAUUUCAUGCUCGUAAGAGUAACACGGAAACAAUGAAUAUACUGCACAACCUAACCAAAUUACAAAAAACCAGAACCCACAAACUUCACUAUCUUCACAGAGAGCACUCUUAACGUAUCUUACUGUAGCUUUGCAAGACAUCUCAAUGCAAUACACACGAUCUUUGUGAGAAUCUUCCUAUCCAGACAUUCAAGGAAGCUAUGUGAGCUAAACAACUUUCAGGCCAAUUCAUGUUGACAGUUCACAAAGAACCGCUUUAGUUGAAGGAUUUUAUACCGUACAACAAUUUUAAAUAGGCAUUUUGCAAAGAUGUCCAAAAGUUCAUGAUUAUGUCAGGAAAGGGGCAGCUAGAGGGAAAGCUGGUAAACGAGUUGAGACUACUCUAUUCCAUUAUCGCUAAAGAUGCUUGCAAAAUGAUCUAGGUUCUUAAGGGGUAAGGCUAAAAUAUUCUUACUUCAGUUUUUACUAAUACGAACCUUGUGACUCCAAGGUUCAAAAGCAGGAUUUGCAUGAAUUCAAAACACUCACUUGAACUCACAGUAAUCAAUACAUAAACUUUGCUAUCAUGACACUUGCCUAUACACACUCAGUAGUAAUAAACUUUUAUAUCAUAUCAAGAAAUUUCUGGUAACAGUUAAGCAAAACUUAAAAUGGAGUGUAUGUAAUUUGCUUGUGUUAUGAAAAGGUUUGAUUAUAUGUAAUUAAAACAGCCAUUUCAACAACUUACUCUAGUUGUAAUUACAUACUGUACCAUUGUAUCUCACUAACUGUAGAUUGAUGCUUUUAAGCAAAUCUAAAACCAGUAUUUUUUUUAUUUUCACGGUACAACGACUAGGAAGGGGUUUUUUUUGUGUGUGUGUUUUUUUUUAAA